GAGAUCAAGGAGCCAGAAGACUUUGCAGGUAAAAGACAUGAGAAUCCUCAAAAUGAACUUCCCUGACAUUAUCAUUAUGUUGAAAACUUCAUUGUGAUUAUUUUUGUAAGCCAGUGUCUUUACUACUAAGCUGUGUCGUAAAUAUGAAUGCAAGUAACUUCUCCAGUUAGUCAGCUUUAGAUCAUUUGCUGGUUUUAAAGUCCUUCCAGCUACUAUACAACAGGAUAUUUCAAACUUGGAGGCUGGAAAGACAGGAGAGUUUAGUAGGUUUUUUUGCCAGUAAAGCAUGAGAAUGUCUUUUAGAAAUAACACCUGUUCUCAAAGAAUUUAAGAGUAAUUACUGAUAAAAUACCAUUAAUUUUUGGGAUGGUAAACUCCCCCCCCCCCCUUAGUGAACUUAUGAAAAAGAAUCAUAAAGCUUGUAAUGCCAGAGGUCAUAAUUGAGGCAUUUCAAAAGGGUUUUCUUUUUGCUAUAUAGCUAAUUUGUAUUUAAUUUAAAGCCAGAUUAGAGUUUAUGACUAGUGUAUCCGAAAUGUUUGAUUGACAGGCCAAAGAAAUAAUUAUUUUUUCAAGGUCUAUAAAUACAAAAACUGUACUUCAAAGUAUGCACAGAUGAACUUGAAGCAUAGGGAAAUUGGGAAGGGAUGCCAGUGUAUCAGUGAAAUAAUAAGGUUACCAGGAUAGUUGAUUCUUAGUUUAUAGGUGUUAUCUGAUCGGUGUUUUGGCUCUGUGUGUGUCUGUCCUUCUCUGUGCCCCUUCUCCUCCCCCAGGAUGUGUAUACAUAGGCAUUAUAUUCUGAUUCUGCCUGAAUAGGUGGUACAGCUGCAUGGUGUGGUGGCAGCAUUUCCUGAUAAUAGGGUUAUAUAACUUUAGAUGUUUAGUGGCUUGAAGGCACUGUACUUUUGGUACAAUGGACAAAUCAGAAGCCGUCUUAUAAUUACAUGGCUUGAAAUACUGUUCUUUCUUUUUAAGUACCAUCCACAUAGUAAAAGAAUAAAAAAUGAAAUGCUACAGUUUGUGACGUUGAUAUAAAACACAGCAAGUUUCCUUAGUUAUGCCUUCUCUGAAGUUGCUUUUGCUACCACUGUCCAAAAAUUCUGGUGUAUAGGAGAACAGUCUCUAUUGUCAAGAACUAGAAAUAGUGAUCACCUACCAAAGCAGCUUGAGGCGUUCAGGGAAGCUGUAACAGCACAGUCUGGUUAGUACAAGAAGAUAACCCUUAAUCCCAAAAGGAAUGUGCCAGCAUUUUCAACAGAGUGGCAAAAUAUUCUUAGCAAGAUUGAUACAAGCCUGCAUCAUCUAGGUGUUAGUAGUCAAAAAUACGUGAGUGAGAAAUGUCAGUCUUGCAGCAAGCACUUAUGCCACGAGAAAAAUCUUUGCAGAAGUAUCUUUUAAUUCUGUAAUUACAUUCUAAAUUAUUCUUCUGGUUCUAAAGUAUUUUAAUCAGGGACUUUUCAUCUGUAGUUUCAAGGUCACACAAGUGCUGUGUAAUGUGCAAACCUAAGACAUCAUACAUGCAGGACAGAGUUGCCCAACACUCUAUUUCUCCUGUUCUGGAAGUUUUCCUGUAAUUCCUGAAGUUGACUUUUUUGUGAGGUAGUGAGAAGGAAUUUGAAGCUGCUCAGGAAAACAAACCCCUCAUUCUUACCCUAGCUACUAAUGUUUUAGGGGGGAAUUAAUUAAACAUGGCUGCCUUUUUUCAGCAUUCCUUUCUCAAGGCAUAGUACACAAUCACUUUGCAUGUAUGUAUAUGAUAUGAAAGCCUGGUAUUGUUAUGAAGUUGGCCAUCUGUUUUGGAGAUGGACUACUUCAUUGAGUAUGAAAUGGUAAAGUGGUGACCACCAUAAUUCUGAUGUUGUGAUACAAAUAUUUAUUGAAGUGCCUUAGUUGCUGAAAUAGAUGGGAAUUGGUUACCUAGAUAGUUUUAAAGUUGUGCUCAUUUGUAUUUACUCUUUGUCAACAGUUGUACAAUGUCAAUAGUAUGUAAUUCUGGUGUAAAAUUAUUUUCUGGGUUUAAAACCCUUUAUUGUGACAUUUUCACUUAUAUUUCCAUCACAUUAAUUUUGGCAAAAGUAGUUUUUUUCACAUCAGAAUAGGUAUGCAUCAAUACUAUAAAUGCACUUUUUGGUUUAUUUCCAUAACUUGAAAUUUUUUUCCUAGUGACAAGUUGAAAUUCUAUAUUUAUGCAUGCAUUUGCUCUUUAACUAAAGCUGGGGAUGAACAGUGUGGUAGUGGCUUUCUGGCAGACAACUGUACACUGUUAAAAAAUGAACAUGCGUAUCACCAUCUCCAAACAGAAUAAGAAAUUACACUCAAAAUGUGUAAUUUCUUGUAUGUUUGAUGGAAUCAGUAACUGAAUCAUGUAGUUAAGCACAUGAAAUUUGAACUCUAUAGCAUAUCAACUAAUAUAAUAAACAUCAACUACAUAAAAUAUCCACUAGUUUUAUCAUGAAGGCACUUUUAUUUAAAAGCAAAGCAGCAAUAAACGUAGAUACUGGGCUCGGUCCUUAUUUGUGAGCACUGAUUCUCUAUGUGUAAAGGAAUCAAGUCAUCUUAGCCUGAGGAAAGCCUGAGGAAAAUGAAAACGAGAAAACAAUACACCUCACCCUGCCUUCUGCCAUCCAAGGUGCGUAACAAAGUGAAAUCUGAACAUGUUGUUGCUGCAAACAGUUUCUUGAUUACUACAGUUCAUUUAGGAUAUAUAAACCCAGUCAUGACAGGUACAGCUAGAGGACUUACUAAAUGGAAGAGGUGUUUAGCUAGAGAAUAAGGUAAUAUAUUGGCAAAGUUACAAGCAAACCCUUAUGUUCAUAACUGCUUGUCAGCUUAGUGCAGUUUUUGGAUACUGUUCAUGUACGUUUAAGCAAAUAUGACUGCAAUACAAUAUUUAUGCAAAUAUAAUACAGGAUUCUAUUUAAAUAUUUCAUUUUCUAGCUACUGAAAUUGUCCAUUUUCAGCAGAUUUUGUUCCAUUCUUUGAAACUGGUCGUUUGUUGUCCGGCACUCUAGAAUUAGUGCUUGUUCCUGUUACAAUUUUAAAUAUACAGCCUCAGUGAAAUUUUUGAGCAACACACAAAAGCCUUUAGGUAAAGGGACUUUUUCCCCCUUAAUAAAACCCCCCUCUUAGAAUAGCUUUGUUAUCUCACUUCCUUAGUAGCAUCAAAUUCUUCCUCCUCAUCCUCGUCUUCCUCAUCCUCAUCUUCCUCCUCUUCUUCUUCAUCUCUUCUUAGCAUACUGCGUGAAAUCUGCCAAAACAAAAAUCCAGCAGAAGUAAAUCAAGUGUUUUUUCUCCUCAAAGAAAAACAAUUAUCUGUUGGCAUUUCCAGUCUAAAUAUUAAUAGUUUUUUGUUUGGGGGAGUGCAUAAGUUGUUUGUCCCUUAACCCUUCAUAACGUGCAAGCCAAUGAAAAGAUACAUGGCACAGAAUAAAAAUACUGUAAUGAUUUUUAAAAGCUAAAAAAAUCCCCAUAGUCAUGACAACUGUUAUAGGAUUGGGAAAACUAUACUUUGAUCCAAUUAAUGCUAAAAAUCCACAAGAUGUUUGUUCCUGGGUUGGCUGUUGAGGCAGCAGGCUGAAGAUGAAUAUUAAGGCCUAAUCUUAUCUUGAAGACAUCAGACCUCCAGUUAAAAGUUCAAAACUAUGCUGCUCUAGGUUGUUGUUUUUUUGAGAAUGAAUUAGACAAACUAUUAAAAGUCUUCAUUCACAGAUGAACAACUUUCUGUGCCCAUCAGUGCUUGCCCUUCAGAAUGACAUUAGUCUCCUUUCUUUGGUUCAUGAAAGAUUAAAAACAAGUGGCAGCUGCCAAGCUUUCAUCUCAUCUGACAGAUUCUGCAAUCUGUACUUUUUUCUAAUGAGGGUUCAAUCUAAUUCCUAUUGAAGAUAGAUCCUUCACAGACAAUGCAACAUUUACAAUUUAAUGUAGGAUAUAUGGCGUUCUUUUUCUUUCCCCAUGAGAAAGAGAACAUUAGUUAUCCAAGUCAUCUGGAAUGCUUUUGAAAAAUGAUUUCAGGUUCAGCCGUUCUUUAAGAGCAUCUGCAGCUCUAAUUUUGGUUAUAUUUUCUGUGUUUUCUCACAUACAGUGAUAUAAUAAAACUUCUGUAUUGAAGACAGAACUUGCCUUUUUUUUUUAAAAGCCCCCUAUUUUAAAAGUCCUUAAAUGCUCAUUAUUAAAUUGACUUCUGAGAUGUUAGAAUUCAUACAGCCAUGUAUGUAACACAAGAUUUUUGUGUCUGCAUAAAGCAAACUGCAGUCAUUGAACUAAUGAAAGCAGAAAAAUCUUUAGUCUUGUUGAUGCUCAAAAAGUACAUAAUUUAGCUUCAAGCAAAUGCUUACAAAUUCCUGAACGUAAUAGAAAAUGCAGUUAAUCAUUGGAUGAAGCUGGGUUAACUUGAGCUGAAAUGCCUAAAACAGCAAUCUCUCAUUCUGUGAAAGAAAAAAAAGACAAUGGCACUGAUUUGUAAUUACUGAUAAAGGAAUGCUGCAGAUUGACCUUGUUAAGGUAGUGUCAUUUCAAUGGGAUAGACUAAUUUUCCUGGUUUUUUUCUAGUUAAGAGUAUCUCAAAUUCUUAAACAGAACUUGCAUCAUAUUUCUGAAGAAAAGCUCCCCCUUCCCCUUCCUGAAAUAAGAGGUGUUGGUUUUGGCUUUAUGGUGUUUUUGUGCUCACUACUCAAAUACCUCUGACUGUGCUGUAAGUAACUAAAUAGUAUGUUAAAUAUUAUCACUGACAGUGGUAAGGAAAUUAGGCAGUUUAAAUCCACAUUAUUGUGCCAUAGAGCUAGAACUUGAAAAUUUAAUUUUUGAUUACUUCAUGCUGAAAAAAUUUAAAAUAAUAAUAAUAAAAAAAUCUGAUAGUUUGUUGUUCAUAAAUAAUUUUAUGUGAAGAUUAAUUCUAUGAGUUUGCAUGUAGGUGUGAUGACUGUUCUUGCUUAAGCUGUUCAGUUCCAUGUUUCACUGCAGGUGUUACUAGAGAAAGCAUGGUAAUCCUCUCCUCAUGUCUUGGGCACUGGGCAGUUUUGGAGCGUUCAGAUGCAGACAUUUUCAAUAACUGUUAGAAUGAUACUUUGCUGUCCUAGAGAGUCAGUGCAAAACAGUUUGUUAUAUUAAGUGCAUGUAGAUAAAACUUAUGUAGUUAAGUUUGAUUUAAAAUAUCUAGAAAAUGUCAUUUUCUUCUGCUAUAUUCUAAAAGUACAGCAUAUACCAACUUGAUUCAGUAAAACAAAAUGAUAGGCUUAAUUGCCAAGUAAAGUGCAAAAUGAAGGAGGUAGCUCUUUGUGAAACAAUGUAUCAAGCUCGAGGACUACUUUAGAUUUUUAACACACAAAUAAUACAGAAAGUUAGUCCACAGAACCAGAAAUAAAUUCAAGGAUGGUAUGCCUUAAAUCUUCUGAAAGACCUGAAACUGUGUUUUUGGCACAGUUUAUCCCAUCUGGUAUGCAGUGACUUCCCCCACGUCCCCCACCUACUGGUUAGUGUUGGCAUGUAUGUGUCUGUCCGUCCUCCCCCACCUCACAGCCCUAGGCACAGUGAUUCUGUGAACUGCUUACCAUAUUGUUUAUACUGCUUUGCACUGGAAAUUGUAAAGUGCUGCCUUACAGUUAGUAAGGGAUUACUAUGUAGCAGGAAACUAGACUUGUGAAAAAUUUGGGAGUGAAAGAUCUCCAGGAAAGAGAAAACAAGUCACCUGAAGGUUUUUCUGAAUACAGCUUUUUUUUUCUCUCGUGAGAUGUUUGGUGGGUUCCAGAGACUAGAGCCCUUAGUGUAAUUCAACAGCAUGCUGUUUGCAGAAUCAGAAAGGGCACAUGGGGAGUGAAUGGAACAGGCUGCCUGCCCCUUCUUCACUGCCCUGUAGUGACUGCAUUAGUAGGAUGUUCCACCGCUAUUCUUCUGCCAUAUGAUCCUCUGCAGAUACACUGCACAGCCAAGUGAGACAACAUUAUUUUGAAAUGUAUUGCAGUUUCCCUCUAGGUCUAGAUGACUUCCUCUUCUUUUCAGAUAUUCCAAUGAGAUGUUACGAGAACAUCAACAUCUGAAGUCAUAACUAAGAGAGAGGUCUAGGUAAACUUGCAAGUUAGUCAUAAUGGAGUUCCACUCCAUCUCUGGGAGAAAUCAGUGUACAUACACUCAGUUUCCUGUUGCUUUGGUUUUUUUUUUUCACAUUUUCUAAAGUAGCUUGAACACGAAAUUUGCUUGUUUGAUAGAGAAGACUGGUGGGUUACUCAGAGUCCAGGUUGUAUUUCAUGCACUGAAUCACUGGGUUCUUUUAUCUUUUCAGAUGACUUAACUCACUUUCAACAGAAUAGCUCAACUGUAAUAAUUGAUCCUUUCUGCGUUGCGAAGGUGUAAAGUGUAUUUCCUCAUAUUUGGAUUAUGUAUGUUCCUGUGUAACCUGCUCUAGGUGACCCUGUCUUGGCAGGGGAGUUGGACUUGAUGAUCUCCAGAGAUCCCUUCCAACCCCAACGAUUCUGUGAUUCUGAAAUAUUCAUGAAUGCCACAAGAUUUGCAUUUAAGUGAAUAUUAAAUGUUGCUAAUCUUGCCCAAGACUUAACUAUAGUAAUUUUAUUAUGCAAGAUAAAAUUGAUAUCACAUACUGAAAUGUGAGCACACGUACUUUGAUAUCCUUUAUCUUCUGUUUCUCAAAAUUAUCAAUAGUUUCCUCUAAUUGCCGCGUUGUUCGAGUAGCAUCCAGUGUCGCUCUCUGCAGUUCACUUUCAGCCUGGUAAAGUAACACAGAGGUGAAAUUAGUCUUGUAUUUGAUACAAAGCUAUUUGCUCCAAGUGCCAUGAAAACAUCGAAGUCUGGGUUUUCAAAACACUACAUAUCUGUGUUACAGUAUUUGUAAAUCUGUCGCUUAAUAAACAUAUAAAGAUGCCUCCUA